GCCUGAGUAGCUGAGCGGUUUAGCAGGAGCCUCUAAAACUCUGGAACGUGGGUUCGAAUCCCACCUCAGGCA
rnacentral:tRNA from 1 species